rnacentral:rRNA from 1 species
UACAGAGGUGGCAAGCGUUGUUCGGAAUUACUGGGCGUAAAGGGCGCGUAGGCGGUCUUGUAAGUCUUGUGUGAAAUCCCUCGGCUUAACUGAGGAACUGCACGGGAUACUGCGAGACUUGAGAUCGGGAGAGGGAAGCGGAAUUUCCGGUGUAGCGGUGAAAUGCGUAGAUAUCGGAAGGAACAUCAGUGGCGAAAGCGACUUCCUGGACCAAUACUGACGCUCAUGUGCGAAAGCGUGGGGAGCAAACAGG